GCCGGGGUGGCGGAACAGGCAGACGCGCGGGUCUCAAAAACCCGUGACCGCAAGGUCAUGAGAGUUCGACCCUCUCCCCCGGCA
rnacentral:tRNA from 1 species